GAUGCUGACGAGUGGCGGACGGGUGCGUAACGCGUAUGAACCUUCCUUAUGCAGGGGGAUAGCCCAUGGAAACGUGGAUUAAUACCCCAUAUUAUUAUAGAUAUGCAUGUAUNUAUGAUAAAAACUUUGGUGGCAUAAGAUGGGCAUGCGUCUGAUUAGUUAGUUGGUAAGGUAACUGCUUACCAGUGCGAUGAUCAGUAGGGGUCCUGAGAGGGUUUCCCCCACACUGGUACUGAGACACGGGCCAGACUCCUACGGGAGGCAGCAGUGAGGAAUAUCGGUCAAUGGCCGCAAGGCUGAACCAGCCAUCCCGCGUGCAGGAUGACAGCCCUAUGGGUUGUAAACUGUUUUUCUACGAGAAGAAUACCCGCGACGCGAUUGUGGAUUGACGGUAUUGUAGGAAUAAGCAUCGGCUAACUCCGUGCCAGCAGCCGCGGUAAUACGGAGGAUGCGAGUGUUAUCCGGAUUCAUUGGGUUUAAAGGGUGCGCAGGCGGGGAUGUAAGUCAGUGGUGAGAAGCUGCCGCUUAACGGUAGUCUUGCCGAUGAUACUGCAUUUCUUGAGUAUGGAUGAGGUAGGCGGAAUGUGCAGUGUAGCGGUGAAAUGCAUAGAUAUUGCACAGAACGUCGAUUGCGGAGGCAGCUUACUAAGCCAUAACUGACGCUGAGGCACGAAAGCGUGGGGAGCGAACAGGAUUAGAUACCCUGGUAGUCCACGCUGUAAACUAUGUUCACUCGCUGUUUGCGAUAUACAGUAAGCGGCUAAGCGAAAGCAUUAAGUGAACCACCUGGGGAGUACGAUCGCAAGUUUGAAACUCAAAGGAAUUGACGGGGGCCCGCACAAGCGGAGGAACAUGUGGUUUAAUUCGAUGAUACGCGAGGAACCUUACCUGGGCUUAAAUGCAGGUUGCAUUACCGGGAGACCGGUAUUCCCUUCGGGGCUACCUGCAAGGUGCUGCAUGGUUGUCGUCGGCUCGUGCCGUGAGGUGUCGGGUUAAGUCCCAUAACGAGCGCAACCCUUACCGUUAGUUACCAUCAGGUAGAGCUGGGGACUCUGGCGGGACUGCCACCGUAAGGUGAGAGGAAGGUGGGGAUGACGUCAAAUCAGCACGGCCCUUAUGUCCAGGGCUACACACGUGUUACAAUGGCCGGUACAAA
rnacentral:rRNA from 1 species